UACGUAGGGGGCUAGCGUUGUCCGGAAUUAUUGGGCGUAAAGGGCGCGUAGGCGGCUUGGCAAGUGGAUGGUGAAAUCCCUCGGCUUAACCGAGGAACUGCCAUCCAGACUGCUUUGCUUGAGGCCGGGAGAGGUGAGUGGAAUUCCCAGUGUAGCGGUGAAAUGCGUAGAUAUUGGGAGGAACACCAGUGGCGAAGGCGGCUCACUGGACCGGUUCUGACGCUGAUGCGCGAAAGCGUGGGGAGCAAACGGG
rnacentral:rRNA from 1 species